AUUGAACGCUGGCGGCAGGCCUAACACAUGCAAGUCGAACGGUAACAGGAAGCAGCUUGCUGCUUCGCUGACGAGUGGCGGACGGGUGAGUAAUGUCUGGGAAGCUGCCUGAUGGAGGGGGAUAACUACUGGAAACGGUAGCUAAUACCGCAUAAUGUCGCAAGACCAAAGAGGGGGACCUUCGGGCCUCUUGCCAUCGGAUGUGCCCAGAUGGGAUUAGCUUGUUGGUGGGGUAACGGCUCACCAAGGCGACGAACCCUAGCUGGUCUGAGAGGAUGACCAGCCACACUGGAACUGAGACACGGUCCAGACUCCUACGGGAGGCAGCAGUGGGGAAUAUUGCACAAUGGGCGCAAGCCUGAUGCAGCCAUGCCGCGUGUAUGAAGAAGGCCUUCUGGUUGUAAAGUACUUUCAGCGGGGAGGAAGGGAGUAAAGUUAAUACCUUUGCUCAUUGACGUUACCCGCAGAAGAAGCACCGGCUAACUCCGUG
rnacentral:rRNA from 1 species